GCCACUUCAAGGUAGUUUUUUUGAGAUUGGAAGGAUGAAAGGGAAUGGGAAUGGUAAGAGAGUGAAUAAUGAUGAAGAUAAUGGGAAGAGACAGAAGCCGUCUUUUUGGGAGUCGUUGAAAUCGUAUGGUGGUGAGCCUCCUGAAAAUUGGACACCACCUGGUAAUGGGCUGGCUGUGCAUACUCCUCCAGGUCCACCAUUUGCGCCUGGACUUAAUCUGAUACGAGUUACGGGAACUGAUGGGAAAAAUGGGGGUGGUAAAGAUGAGGAUAGUGAUGAGAAGAGUGGGUGGGG
rnacentral:misc_RNA from 1 species